GGCUCAGGAUGAACGCUAGCGACAGGCCUAACACAUGCAAGUCAGGGGCAGCACAAGGAGCAAUCUGAGGUGGCGACCGGCGCACGGGUGAGUAACACGUAUGCAACCUGCCUGUAAGCGGGGAAUAACCCGUUGAAAGACGGACUAAUACCGCAUAAUACUAAAUUACUGCAUGGUAAUUUAUUUAAACAUUUAUGGCUUACAGGUGGGCAUGCGCAUGAUUAGCUAGUUGGAGAGGUAACGGCUCCCCAAGGCAACGAUCAUUAGGGGUUCUGAGAGGAAGGUCCCCCACACUGGUACUGAGACACGGACCAGACUCCUACGGGAGGCAGCAGUGAGGAAUAUUGGUCAAUGGACGAGAGUCUGAACCAGCCAAGUCGCGUGCAGGAAGAAUGUCCCUAUGGAUUGUAAACUGCUUUUGCAGGGGAAUAAAGUGCAUCACGUGUGAUGUUUUGUAUGUACUCUGCGAAUAAGGAUCGGCUAACUCCGUGCCAGCAGCCGC
rnacentral:rRNA from 1 species